CCUACGGGUGGCAGCAGUGGGGAAUAUUGGGCAAUGGGCGCAAGCCAGACCCAGCAAAGCCGCGUGAAGGAAGAAGGCUCUCGGGUUGUAAACUUCUUUUUAGGGGGAAGAGCAGAAGACGGUACCCCUUGAAUAAGCCAUGGCUAACUACGGGCCAGCAGCCGCCGUAAUACAUAGGUGGCAAGGGGUGUCCGGAUUUACUGGGUGUAAAGGGCGUGCUGCCGGGGAGACAAGUCAGAUGUGAAAUCCACGGGCUCAAACCGUGAACUGCAUUUGAAACUGGUUCCCUUGAGUGUCGGAGAGGUAAUCGGAAUGCCUGGUGUAGCGGUGAAAUGCGUAGAUAUAAGGAAGAACACCAGUGGCGAAGGCAGAUUACUGGACGAUAACUGACGGUGAGGCGCGAAAGCGUGGGGAGCAAACAGGAUUAGAUACCCCUGUAGUC
rnacentral:rRNA from 1 species